rnacentral:lncRNA from 1 species
GGUCGAGACUCCUCUACCCUGUGCAAAGGUGUAUGAGUUUCGACCCCAGAGCUCUGUGUGCUUUCUGUUGCUGCUUUAUUUCGACCCCAGAGCUCUGGUCUGUGUGCUUUCAUGUUGUUGCUACUUUAUUAAAUCUUACCUUCUACAUUUUAUGUAUGGUCUCAGUGUCUUCUUGGGUACGCGGCUGUCCCGGGACUUAAGUGUCUGAGGGAGGGUCUCCCUUCGGGGGUCUUUCAUUUGGUGCAUUGGCCGGGAAACAGCGCGACCACCCAGAGGUCCUAGACCCACUUAGAGGUAAGAUUCUUUGUUCUGUUUUGGUCUGAUGUCUGUGUUCUGAUGUCUGUGUUCUGUUUCUAAGUCUGGUGCGAUCGCAGUUUCAGUUUUGCGGACGCUCAGUGAGACCGCGCUCCGAGAGGGAGUGCGGGGUGGAUAAGGAUAGACGUGUCCAGGUGUCCACCGUCCGUUCACCCUGGGAGACGUCCCAGGAGGAACAGGGGAGGAUCAGGGACGCCUGGUGGACCCCUUUGAAGGCCAAGAGACCAUUUGGGGUUGCGAGAUCGUGGGUUAGAGUCCCACCUCGUGCCCAGUUGCGAGAUCGUGGGUUCGAGUCCCACCUCGUGUUUUGUUGCGAGAUCGUGGGUUUGAGUCCCACCUCGCACCUUGUUGCGAGACCGUGGGUUCGAGUCCCACCUCGCGUCUGGUCACGGGAUCGUGGGUUCGAGUCCCACCUCGUGCAGAGGGUCUCAAUCGGCCGGCCUUGGAGAGGCCAUCUGAUUCUUCUGGUUUCUUUUUUGUCUUAGUCUCGUGUCCGCUCUUGUUGUGACUACUGUUUUUCUAGAAAUGGGACAAUCUGUGUUCACUCCUCUUUCUCUGACUCUGGAGCAUUGGAAGGAGGUGCGGGUCAGAGCCCACAACCAGUCGGUGGAGGUCAGAAAGGGUCAGUGGCAGACCUUUUGCGCCUCCGAGUGGCCAACGUUUGGAGUAGGCUGGCCACCUAAGGGUGCUUUUGACUUGUCACUAAUCGCCGCCGUCAGGCAAAUUGUUUUUCAGGAGGAAGGGAGUCGAUGUGGAAUCUGCCCCCGUCAGGAAAUAGCGUUUGGCUUGGCUGGUUGUACAAGUCCAGGCGUGGACGAGUGUGCUUAGAGAUACUGGUGUCUUCUUUUUCUCUGUUGCUAUCUUGUUUUUGUUUGUGGUUUUUGUCAUGAGACACAGACACUGUACGUCAGAGGUAAAGUGAGAUCCCUCCCUGUCUGUAUGUCUGUGUGUCUGUGUGUCUUGUUCACUUGUGUGUCCUCCAUUGGACCACCUUCUGAUUCUGUUUUGUUUUUGAUUUGUCUGGUUUCAGGUCUGGUCUUGGUCCCAAGGAGUUGACUGAUUAUCUUGGUUUGGUUUUAGGCCGGUCUCAGGUUCUGGGGCCUUCCCAUGGAGACAGGUCCAUUUGGGUUGGUCAUAGUGACAGUAAGCUUCUCUGGAAAUCGCAUGUAAGAUGCCCUGUAUUGGUCUUGCUUGUGUUUGUCAUUUCUGUGGUACUGUGAUUCUAUAGUGGUUGCCUGAAAAAACGGUUUCUGUGUGUGUCUUUUUUGUCUCUUUGUGUUCGGACUUGGACUGAUGACUGACGACUGUUUUUAAGUUAUGCCUUCUGAAAUAAGCCUAAAAAUCCUGUCAGAUCCCUAUGCUGACCACUUCCUUUCAGAUCAACAGCUGCCCUGCCUCCCACUCCAACUCCAGAGAGCAGCCAGCGGGUCACAGUGGUCCCGCCCAUGGACCUGGAGCCUAGGGAAAAAUGAGCUCGGAAAUCCGGAGCAAAUGAGGAGUGGUCCCUGAGAAGUCAGUGGCCUAAAUGUUGUGGCUGCUGAAGCAAAAGAAGAGGAGGCUGUUCGAGUAGCCGGCCAAGAGCGCUGCAGGUUCCCAGGCAGCUUCUCAUUCCCCUGUCCCUCCCAUCCCAUCUCUUGUUAACAGAAAAACUGCUUUCACUUUAAGAUAAGUGCCGGUUGCAGCCGGCUGUGAGAGCUGCACUCCCGUCUCUGCUCUAAAGUUCCCUCUUCUCAGAAGGUGGCACCUCCCUGAGCUACUGGCAGUGAUGUCCAAACUCCAGUGAGAGAGGCAUCCGCCCACUUGGGACUUCUGUCCAAGGUAAGGAGCACCUGUGAGUCUAACUGCCAGGCUCUGAUGGGGGUCUCGUCUCUGUGGGACUAAAAAGUGUCCCAACAAUCUGACCAAGGUAACAGGAAGUUAAGACAAAGACAGAGACCAGAGUCAGAAUCAGAGCUGUGCUGUGAGACAAAAAGAUAAGAAAAAUAAAAUGCUGGCCACAAAAGUCAGGAAAACUAGAAAACUUAGAUAGUACCUGGCAACAAAAGAAAGCUUUUGGCUAAAGAUCAACGUGUAUACUGUAAAGAAAAUGAGCACUGGGUGAGAGACUGCCCCAACAAAAAGAAGAGGAGCCCCCCUCAUGAUCAAACCCUUCACCUGUUCGUGGCUAAAAGUAAAGAGAUAACAAAAGGGGUGCUAACACAGAAGCUGAGUCCUUAAAAGAGUCCGGUGGCCUACCUGUUAAAGCAGCUAGAAAAAGAGACUGUGUUUCAUACUCCUCCACCGACCAGUGCAAAACAAGCUAAAAAGUUCCUGGGCACUGCGGGCUUUUGCAGAUUGUGGAUUCCAGUUUUGCUGAGUUAAAGAGAUAAACAGCCCUUCGUAU